GGUGAGAUGGCCGAGUGGUUAUGGCGCCGUGUUCAGGUCAUUAGUGAUAUCAGAUUCAUCAUGAAUAACUGAUUUCAUUAGUAUCAGGAACAAAUUCGCGGUGGAGCAAUCCGCGUGGGUUCGAGUCCCACUCUCAUCA